GAUGAACGCUGGCGGCGUGCCUAAUACAUGCAAGUCGAGCGAACAGAUAAGGAGCUUGCUCCUUUGACGUUAGCGGCGGACGGGUGAGUAACACGUGGGUAACCUACCUAUAAGACUGGAAUAACUCCGGGAAACCGGGGCUAAUGCCGGAUAACAUUUAGAACCGCAUGGUUCUAAAGUGAAAGAUGAUUUUGCUAUCACUUAUAGAUGGACCCGCGCCGUAUUAGCUAGUUGGUAAGGUAACGGCUUACCAAGGCAACGAUACGUAGCCGACCUGAGAGGGUGAUCGGCCACACUGGAACUGAGACACGGUCCAGACUCCUACGGGAGGCAGCAGUAGGGAAUCUUCCGCAAUGGGCGAAAGCCUGACGGAGCAACGCCGCGUGAGUGAUGAAGGUCUUCGGAUCGUAAAACUCUGUUAUUAGGGAAGAACAAAUGUGUAAGUAACUGUGCACGUCUUGACGGUACCUAAUCAGAAAGCCACGGCUAACUACGUG
rnacentral:rRNA from 1 species